AUUUAAACAUCGAGAAAAAACCUAACUCCAAACGCUCCACCACCAUCUCUAUCGCUACCACCACCAUUUCCUUCGCCACUAGAACCAACACCACAACACCAGUGCCACAACCACCACCUCCGCCACCAGCACCACCGACGCUGAGUACAGUUUUAAAAGGAAAGUCGAUAAUUUCAUUUUCAAUUCCAGAUCUGGAAAAUAUCUGUAGUUCUCUUCUCUCCUCAGCCAACACUAUCACCACCGUUUUAGUAUGAAAAUCGAUUUUGAAGAUCGACAAUAACAAUAUACAUGAAGAUUGUAUCCAAAGUGCUACGCAAAAGCUGAUAGAAGAUUGUAGAGUUGGAGCAAUCUAUGAGCAGGCAGAAUUACAAGCAUUUUAAUUGCAGCAAGACAUGGGCUUUUUUUUUUGUACUUAUUUACUGUACACUGUCAAGUUAGUAGCUUAGUAAGAGUUGCACUUAGGAGCAACAAUAUCUAGAUUUUGACUCUGCACAAUUCAUAAUUAGAUCUUAGCAUUCUCAAUGAAAUAAGUGUGUGCUGGGUGACUCACGUUAACCUUGCAAUAGUGGUUGUUGUUGUGUUUCAAGCAGUGGUGGUGGAUGUUGGGAUGGUUGCUGCUGUUUUUGGUGGUGGUUGUUGAUGUUGCAGUGGAGGUGAUUGUAGUAGUUGCAGUACUGGUGUUGGUAAUGGAUGUUGUGCAGGUAUGUAACAGAUGAUCAUUUUCCUUUUUUUGGUUGGAUUUGUUGAUGGUGUUCCAGUUCUUGAUCCUCCAAGAUAUAAAGUAUCUCUCAAGAUGAAUCUGUGGUGCAAAGGUAGCACAACUGACUCCACGUCAGAAAAUACGUGUUCGAUUCAUGUCAGGUUCAUUAAUUUUAAUGUAUCAAUUUUUGGGAUCAACUUGGUUGUUGACAUCAGAUUUUGGGAUCAACUUUGGUUGUCGACGCCAUAUUACUAUUAUUUAUUUAUUUUUAUUAUUUUUGUUUUGAGGAUCAACUUCAGUUGUUGACACCAGAAUUUAGGAUAAACUUUGGUUGUUAACGCAUAUUUUUUUUCCUUAUUUUCUAUUUUUGUUAUUGAGAUCAA